rnacentral:rRNA from 1 species
AACGAACGCUGGCGGCAGGCUUAACACAUGCAAGUCGAGCGCCCCGCAGGGGGAGCGGCAGACGGGUGAGUACCGCGUGGGAACGUACCUUUUGGUUCGGAACAACUCCGGGAAACUGGAGCUAAUACCGGAUAAGCCCUAACGGGGAAAGAUUUAUCGCCGAAAGAUCGGCCCGCGUCUGAUUAGCUAGUUGGUGAGGUAACGGCUCACCAAGGCGACGAUCAGUAGCUGGUCUGAGAGGAUGAUCAGCCACACUGGGACUGAGACACGGCCCAGACUCCUACGGGAAGCAGCAGUGGGGAAUAUUGGACAAUGGGCGCAAGCCUGAUCCAGCCAUGCCGCGUGAGUGAUGAAGGCCUUAGGGUUGUAAAGCUCUUUUGUCCGGGAAGAUAAUGACUGUACCGGAAGAAUAAGCCCCGGCUAACUUCGUG